AACAUAUGUAAAUAAAAGGAUCCGCUGAAAUUUAGUAAUAUUGUGAUGGUAUGACAUUUACUGUUUUUCUAGCCACGCCAAGGACCUCAAAUUUCGAGGGAUUAGUUUGUGAAUUUUCGCAGAGGAUGUAUUUUGCAUGUACAUGGGAAUGUAUUUUCAGACAAUAUAAACUAUAAACCAGUCAUAUUUGUUCUUUGAUGGUAAAUAUUCGAAUGAUGGCCCAUAUCUGGAAAUAUUUCCACUUUCUAAAGUUGUAGACGAAAAUAUUUAGCGAUUUUCAGCGAUAAAAUUCAAAACCUUUGGAAUUUUGAGUAAAACCUUCGAACUUCGGGCGAUGUGAUUUAAGUAACUUACUAGAUACCACUGACAUGAUCUGAUCUGAUCUGAUCGCGGACGGGGGUCACAGAAC